CCUACGGGAGGCAGCAGUGAGGAAUAUUGGUCAAUGGGCGAGAGUCUGAACCAGCCAAGUCGCGUGAAGGAUGACUGCCCUAUGGAUUGUAAACUUCUUUUAUCAAGGAAUAAAACGAGGCACGUGUGCCUGGUUGCAGGUUCUUUGUAAAUAAGGAUCGGCUAAAUCCGGGCCCGCAGCCGCGGGUAUAAGGAGGAUCCGGGCGUUUUCCGGAUUUUUUUGGGUUAAAGGGAGAGGAGAUGGGUUGUUUAGGCAGUUGUGAAAGUUUGCGGCUCAACCGCAAAAUUGCCAUUGAUACUGGGAGUCUUGAGUACAGGUGAGGUAUGCGGAAUGCGUGGUGUAGCGGUGGAAUGCAUAGAUAUCACGAAGAACUCCGAUUGCGAAGGCAGCUUACCAACGUGCGACUGACACUGAGGCACGAAAGCGUGGGGAUCAAACAGGAUUAGAUACCCGUGUAGUC
rnacentral:rRNA from 1 species